AGACCUGGUCGUAGAGCCACGACCAACUAAAAAUAAAGAAAGCUCACUGAGA
rnacentral:ncRNA from 1 species